CUCUGUUUUGUGGAUUAGAAGAUGGAGGUACAGAGGCUUGUCAUUUUCCCAGAGACAACACAAAAAGAGAGAGAAAGAUGCUGUAUUCUUCCUACCUGUGUCCCAGAAUCCUGAACAGCCGCCGGUGUGCAGGUCCUGGUGGGAAGUGACGUUGCUGCAGAAGUUGCAGUGCUGACGAGGAGGGCAGCAUCCCUCAGAGAGAAGGACACCACAGAGAGUCCCUACCAGCCAGGAGGCUCUCACCAGAUGCGCCCCCUUGACCUUGGACCUCCCAGCUUCAAAAACUGUCAUACAAGACACUCUGUCUUGCUCUCUUGAAUUGCCUGCUCUGGUGGAAGCCAGCCAGCUUCUGCCGUGUCAUGAGAACACUCAUGCAGCCCUGGGAAGAGUCCACGUGGUGAGGAACUGAGGCCUCCUGCCAACAGCCAAGUGAAAGCACCAUCCUGGAAGAGGACCCUC